AUGUUGUCGACCCUUUGGUUUGCUACUCUUAGAUGCCUGUUGAGUAAAUGUUAUCUGAAUCCUCACAUUCUCUUUUGUUUCAGAGGCAACUCCGUGAAGGACGCAGCGUCCAAGGCUUAUGCUCAGGUGUUUGCUCCUCACCAUGGCUGGGCCAUAAGGAAAACAGUAUGUGCUAGAAUGUACGCCCUUCCUUCUAAGUCGCAGCUCUUGAAGAAACUGAAUGAAGAUGCCGACGAUCCAUGUCCCUACGCGCGUGCUGUCGGUUUUCUUCCACGCGCUGCUGCUGUUACCUGA
rnacentral:rRNA from 1 species